rnacentral:rRNA from 1 species
UACGGAGGGAGCUAGCGUUGUUCGGAUAUACUGGGCGUAAAGCGCGCGUAGGCGGCUUGUUAAGUCAAAUGUGAAAUCCCCGAGCUUAACUUGGGCAUUGCAUUCGAUACUGGCAAGCUAGAGUAUGGGAGAGGAAGGUAGAACUCCAGGUGUAGCGGUGAAAUGCGUAGAGAUCUGGAGGAAUACCGAUGGCGAAGGCAGCCUUCUGGCCUAAUACUGACGCUGAGGUGCGAAAGCAUGGGGAGCAAACAGG